rnacentral:rRNA from 1 species
UCAGAUUGUAGGCUGCAACUCGCCUGCAUGAAGUCGGAAUUGCUAGUAAUCGCGGAUCAGCAUGCCGCGGUGAAUACGUUCCCGGGCCUUGUACACACCGCCCGUCACACCAUGGGAGCCGGUAACACCCGAAGUCAGUAGCCUAACAGCAAUGGAGGGCGCUGCCGAAGGUGGGAUUGGUGACUGGGGUGAAGUCGUAACAAGGUAAC